UUGACUGAGAUGAGUUCAAAAUGCAUAAAAAACUAGCCAGCAAAUCGCAUGGAAUCCCCCAAAAAAUCAAUUAAAAAAGACGUAACGGUUGAGACCGCGGAUAAUUUAUUCUGUGGAAGACGUGACUGUCCAUCCAGAUUGAGACAUUUCUCUCAAAAGUCUUCCACGUUUGUAUAACAGUUCACGGUGAACCGCAAAUAUGGCCAAAAAGUUUCACUGUUUCGUCUUUUCAAUUCAAGAUUAGAAAGGAUUCCCUUCAUCCUUUCUGCAGUAUCCAAGGCUGUUGUUUGUCCCAUGUUUUAUUUUCCCCCGACAUGAAUGCCUUUUGUUCGCCCACACGUAGGUACAACCUUGGAUGGAAACUGUUCCAAAUUGCCUGUAAAUUGAGGGUUUGAGUGUAAACUCACCUAUCUGAAGCCUGCGAGCCUCUGCGAGGUGAAUUCUAUCUGAAAUGAAGAAAAAGCAUCUGUAGGAAAGAAUCAUUGAUUAGCUGUCAAAUUCGUAUGAGUGUUGUGUUGUUGUGGUCCGGCCCAAGUUCGGCUCCCGUAGUCAAGUUGUAUCGAGACACUUGAGAAAAUAACUACAAAAUAGUGCUGUGAAGAAUAAUUGGGUGGAGAAUCGAGAGAGUGAGUGACACACACGCGAACCCCCUAACACACACACACACACACAGACACACACACACACACACACACACACAACUUAAAUCAUCAUUGGAAAAUCAUUAGAAAUCUGGCCGCGCUGAGGGGCACAGAUUGAGGGACAAACCCCAUUCAAGUACACACAAAGACAGGCGUGCACACACACACUAACACACUCACAGAGAGGCAGCCGGGUGGAAGGGAACAUGGGCGGUUCCAUCCACACACACACACACACACACACACACACACACACACACACACACAAGAACAGCUCGAACCUCACAAACAACCCUCCAUACAAACCCGUCCGCCCACCUCCGUCGACAUUUAUUGCGCCUUCUGUGUGAAUGUAUUUCAGUUUUAUUCACAUGUCAGCCAUUGUGUGUGUGUGUGUGUGUGUGUGUGUGUGUGUGUGUGUGUCGCUGUGAAUGAGAGCCCCAUUAGUGAUUCAUUUGUGUGUAGUUAACCAUUGUGGAGAGAAGGUAACAUUUUAUUUGUCUGAACCCAACCCUGACCAUAUGGUGAUACCUUGCUCGCUCCUCCUCCUCCUCCUCCUCCUCUCUGCGUUCCUCCUCCUCCUCCUCCUCCUCUCUGCGUUCCUCCUCUUCCUCCUCCUCCUCUCUGUGUUCCUUCUCUUCCUCCUCCUCCUCCUCCUCCUCCUCCUCUGGUUCCCCUUGUGGACUGAAGUCAACUCGUUGCUCCCUUCCUGUCCCUCCCCCACAGCUCAUUUGUUCUCCCCUCUCAUGUGCACUUUCUGCUAAGAAGUUGCCUUCUUCCUUUAGCUGACGUUUCGGACGUCAGCUUGUGUGUGUGUGUGUGCGUGCGUGCGUGUGUCUGCGUGUGUGUGUCUGCGUGUGCGUGUGUGUGUUCUAGGUCGAUGGGGACAGGCAUCCUUGGCUGUCAGCUGCUAUCAGCCCUCACGUGUGCCAGUAAUGUUGUGUAUUGUCCGAACACAUCACUAGAGGAGCAUCUGAGACGUCCAUUAAAGUUCAAAGCAAUUUAUCACUAUCACCCUCCUCCUCCUCAACAUCUCCCAUCAUCCCUCAACCCCCUCCCCCUCCUCCCCUCCGUGCUGUCACCAUCCUCCCAUCUUCUCUCCUCCGUCCA
ensembl:lncRNA